UACGUAGGGUGCGAGCGUUGUCCGGAAUUACUGGGCGUAAAGAGCUCGUAGGUGGUUUGUCGCGUUGUUCGUGAAAACCUGAGGCUUAACCUUGGGCGUGCGGGCGAUACGGGCAGACUGGAGUACUGCAGGGGAGACUGGAAUUCCUGGUGUAGCGGUGAAAUGCGCAGAUAUCAGGAGGAACACCGAUGGCGAAGGCGAUUCCCUGGGCCUGCACUGACGCUCAUGCACGAAAGCGUGGGGAGCAAACAGG
rnacentral:rRNA from 1 species